CGGCGGAGCGGAGUUGCUGUCGAUGAGGGAGAAGAACCGAAAAGGGGGAGGAGAAAAAAUUGGGAGAGAGGUUAGAAAACGUACCUGGAACCGUGGCUGGUGGCGGUGGAGUGGAACUGGAGAGCCGCCGUGACGGGACCUCGCCGGCGAUGAAGGAGUUGGUGGUCGGGGCGGCUCCCGUUGCCGGACGGAGACGAGGGAUGCGCCGUUGAAGAGCUGGCGUCGAGGGAGACCUCCUCCCCGACAUGCAGGG
rnacentral:misc_RNA from 1 species